CCCGGUGGCUUUUCCGGAGGGGCCACACCCGUUCUAGAACACGGAAGUUAAGCCCUCCAAGGCCGAUGAUACUGCUGGCGAGAGGCAGUGGGAAAGAAAGUAGGACGCUGUCGGGU
rfam:Nitrospira moscoviensis strain NSP M-1, complete genome.